AGCGUAGGCGGAUUUUUAAGUGAGAUGUGAAAUACUCGGGCUUAACCUGAGUGCUGCAUUUCAAACUGGAAGUCUAGAGUGCAGGAGAGGAGAAGGGAAUUCCUAGUGUAGCGGUGAAAUGCGUAGAGAUUAGGAAGAACACCAGUGGCGAAGGCGCUUCUCUGGACUGUAACUGACGCUGAGGCUGAAAGCGUGGGGAGCGAACA
rnacentral:rRNA from 1 species